rnacentral:rRNA from 1 species
ACGGCCAUACCAUGAUGAAAGCACCGGUUCUCGUCCGAUCGCCGAAGUUAAGCAUCAUCUUGCGCGGUCAGUACUCGGGAGGGUGACCACCUGGGAACACCGCGUGCCGUU